CUUCACCCAUGCAUAUUACAAAAAAAAAAAGGAAGCCACCCUUUUGCACUCCACCACCUCCGGUCAGCCACUUCCGGCGGCAUUCCGGUGAAUUUUCAGGCCAGUAAAGGUGCUCCAAGCUUGAAACCUACAACCACACUUCAUUUACUUAAAGAAAGGAGAAAGAUUAAGGUUCAAAUGAGGUUUUUGAAUCAAUUCAAGAGAAGCCUUUGUUAUCUUGAUUUGGUGGAAUUACCAAGCUCCAAGGUAAGGGUUAUUGACUCAAAUUGCUUUAAUUAAGGAUGAGUUGGGAU